rnacentral:rRNA from 1 species
UACGUAGGGAGCAAGCGUUGUCCGGAAUCAUUGGGCGUAAAGCGCGCGUAGGUGGCCCGGUAAGUCCGCUCUGAAAGUCACAGGCUCAACCUGUGAAAGCGGGUGGAUACUGCCGGGCUAGAGUCCGGAAGAGGCGAGUGGAAUUCCUGGUGUAGCGGUGGAAUGCGCAGAUAUCAGGAGGAACACCAACGGCGAAGGCAGCUCGCUGGGACGGUACUGACACUGAUGCGCGAAAGCCAGGGGAGCGAACGGG